rnacentral:rRNA from 1 species
CCUACGGGUGGCAGCAGUGAGGAAUAUUGGUCAAUGGGCGCAAGCCUGAACCAGCCAAGUCGCGUGAGGGAUGACGGUCCUAUGGAUUGUAAACCUCUUUUGUCGGGGAGCAAAAGACGCCACGCGUGGCGUUCCGAGAGUACCCGAAGAAAAAGCAUCGGCUAACUCCGUGCCAGCAGCCGCGGUAAUACGGGGGAUGCGAGCGUUAUCCGGAUUUCUUGGGUUUAGAGGGUGCGCAGGCGGAAGAUCAAGUCAGCGGUAAACUUGAGAGGCUCAACCUCUUCGAGCCGUUGAAACUGGUUUUCUUGAGUGAGCGAGAAGUAUGCGGAAGGCGUGGUGUAGCGGUGAAAUGCAUAGAUAUCACGCAGAACUCCGAUUGCGAAGGCAGCAUACCGGCGCUCAACUGACGCUCAUGCACGAAAGUGUGGGUAGCGAACAGGAUUAGAUACCCGUGUAGUC